GACGAACGCUGGCGGCGUGCCUAAUACAUGCAAGUUGAGCGCUGAAGGUUGGUACUUGUACCAACUGGAUGAGCAGCGAACGGGUGAGUAACGCGUGGGGAAUCUGCUUUUGAGCGGGGGACAACAUUUGGAAACGAAUGCUAAUACCGCAUAAAAACUUUAAACACAAGUUUUAAGUUUGAAAGAUGCAAUUGCAUCACUCAAAGAUGAUCCCGCGUUGUAUUAGCUAGUUGGUGAGGUAAAGGCUCACCAAGGCGAUGAUACAUAGCCGACCUGAGAGGGUGAUCGGCCACAUUGGGACUGCGACACGGCCCAAACUCCUACGGGAGGCAGCAGUAGGGAAUCUUCGGCAAUGGACGAAAGUCUGACCGAGCAACGCCGCGUGAGUGAAGAAGGUUUUCGGAUCGUAAAACUCUGUUGGUAGAGAAGAACGUUGGUGAGAGUGGAAAGCUCAUCAAGUGACGGUAACUACCCAGAAAGGGACGGCUAACUACGUG
rnacentral:rRNA from 1 species